rnacentral:rRNA from 1 species
UACAGAGGGCGCGAGCGUUGUCCGGAAUCACUGGGCGUAAAGGGCGCGUAGGUGGCCACCAUAAGGCCGCGGUGAAAGUUCGGGGCUCAACCCUGAAUCGGCCGCGGCGACUGUGGGGCUUGGGCACUGUAGAGGCAGAUGGAAUUCUUGGUGUAGCGGUGAAAUGCGUAGAUAUCAAGAGGAACACCUGCGGCGAAGGCGGGUUGCUGGGCCGACACUGACGCUGAGGCGCGAAAGCUAGGGGAGCGAACGGG